ACCAUGUGACUAUGAUGAGUGCUGGUCUGUUAUGAUACAGGGAAGAUUAGCAUGGCCUCUGGCGCAAGGCUGAGAUGCAAAUUUGUGAAGCGUUCCUUAUUUUC